rnacentral:rRNA from 1 species
GACGAACGCUGGCGGCGUGCUUAACACAUGCAAGUCGAACGCUGAAGCUUGGUGCUUGCACUGGGUGGAUGAGUGGCGAACGGGUGAGUAAUACGUGAGUAACCUGCCCUUGACUCAGGGAUAAGCCUGGGAAACUGGGUCUAAUACUGGAUACGACAUGCCACUGCAUGGUGGUGUGUGGAAAGGGUUUUACUGGUUUUGGAUGGGCUCACGGCCUAUCAGCUUGUUGGUGGGGUAAUGGCCUACCAAGGCGACGACGGGUAGCCGGCCUGAGAGGGUGACCGGCCACACUGGGACUGAGACACGGCCCAGACUCCUACGGGAGGCAGCAGUGGGGAAUAUUGCACAAUGGGCGGAAGCCUGAUGCAGCGACGCCGCGUGAGGGAUGACGGCCUUCGGGUUGUAAACCUCUUUCAGCAAGGAAGAAGCGAGAGUGACGGUACGUGCAGAAGAAGCGCCGGCUAACUACGUG